rnacentral:lncRNA from 1 species
GAGGAUCUUACAUAUACUACUACUGUUGUUGUUGUUGUCAACGAUUUCUGCGACUCAUUCUUUCUGGAUCUGUGACUGGCUCUAUAGGUGUUCCUGUACAAUGAGUCAUACACCAAACCCAAAAAGAGAAGAUUAGUAACAAACAAAAUUAAAAUUGUAUCUAUAACCUAAAAAUUUCCUAAUUAUUCUUACUGAAGUGCACAAAUUAAAAUCAAACUAUUGACGUUGCCUCUCCAACAAUGGCGCCAACAAC